CACAUGGCACUAUAUUUCCCUCCUAAUUUUCCUCAAAUAUUUUCAGUAAAGCGCCUAAAAUUUACUAUACAAUUAAUUAUUUUCUCUUUUCCCAAAAUUAACAAAACAUAUACAAUUUCAGUAUCGCUGAAAUUGGCCUCUUUUCAUCAUCGACGAUUUCUAGUCGAGAAGCCCUAAUUGUCGCCAGUCAAUUCACCCAAAUCGAUCAUCGCUUAAAUUUGCCUCUGUAGUGUCGAUAGAUUUAUUCUAACCGGUGCUGGUUGUUUGUAUUUUGUUGCGCUGUGCUAUGCUCAACUUAAUAUCGCUCAACAAGUUCUUAAAUUGUUGUUGGGUUCAUGUGCUUCUCUAACUCACCCCAAUACUCCAAGAUUUGCUGCACUAGGUUCUUUCUCAACUUUCCAAAACUCUAAUUUUAGAUUGUUAUAGUGGUUAAGAAGAAAGAUAUCAGCAAGAGUAGCUGAAGAAAAAACUUGUCCUUGGAUAUUUUUUAAGAGACUUGAACAAUCAUGAAUCAAGAAACGUGUGUGACAAAACGCCAGAAAGUUCAGAAUUUAAACUCUGUUUCAGCUACAUCACUUGUUUCUUUGCGAAAUAAAAAGGUAUCACAUCACAAGCACAAACGGAACACGGAGUCUAUUUUAACCGUUGAAGUUAUGAAGUCAAAGGAAAAGUGUCACAAGAAAAAAUUGAACUCGAACAACUCUCUAAAUGAAUCUCAAGUGUAACAUGUGUCUUUGAAUUCUACAUUUUCUACAGUAUAAACAGUACAUGAGAAAGUGCAACACCUGUUGCCCGAUUCUACCACUCCCUUAUCACAAGUAGCAGAUGAACAAGUGCAACAACAGUCACAACUUUCUAGUAAUCCAGCAUCACAACCACUGCAUGAACCAAUGUAGCAACGUCCACAAAAUUCAACCAAUCUCAAAGGAAAUAACCAAUUUGAGGAACAAGGAAAGCAUAUACAAAUUUAAGUUCAUAUUAUUCCAAAAGAUCUCUAAAUAACUAUAAUCUACGUAGACCCUAUACUAAACAAGAAAAAAGAGGUGGCACAAAAAUGCAGGUUGUUCAUGGACAGACUAAGCGUAAACUGAUCCUGCUAAAUGAGUUGAACUAUCCCAAUCGUCCUACUAAAGAAGUGGUAAGCGAAUUGGGCAGCUUUCUUGGAACAUUGGCAAGAAAUGGAACAUUUUGUCCUAUUAAUGUAUUUAAUUGGAAGAAGUUGAAGACACAUGAUGAUUUGCAGAACUAUAACAAGGAAAAAUAUGACAUUCCGGAUGUUGGAAAAGAAUGGGCUUUGGGAGCAAUUCAACUUGCUUGGAGAGGGUAUAAUUGUAGGUUGAAUAAAACACACUUUUAUGCAUAUGCCGAUAAUGCAACUCAAAUGGCAAAAAGGAGACGUCCCACACCAAUAAAUAGAAUCGAAUAAAAGUUGAGGUAUCCACGCACUGUUGGCAAGAAAAGUUUUGCUAUAAUUCGCGAGGAAAAAAAGAAGGAAACUCCUUAUGCUUUGCCAAGUAAGGACUUAUUUGUGGCUACUAGAAAAAGGAAAUCUGACCAAGUAUACAAGGACUCAUAUAAAGAUACAAUUGCCAAAGUAGUAUGAACUUUUCUUAUUAUAAGUUGAUCUAUAUGAAUUUUUUGUCCUUAUAUAUGAUCGAUUCAAUUUAAUUGAACUCUCUUCUAUUGAGCCUGAUAUGAAUGCUGAGAUGGAGAGGAUAGAAACUCACCAAAAUGAAGAUGUUACUCAAUCUCUUGACGCAUUUACAACACCCAUGAGGCAAGAUCAUCUAGGUCGAGUAAGAUUAUAUGGACGUGGAGUAACCAAGACUCUUUUGAAACAUAAAAAGGGAGGUUCUGGUCUCGCUUCACAAACUGUCGCUGAUGAAAUGAUGAAGAAAAAAUUCGAGGAACUUGAAGAGCGGAUGCAACAAAUAAUGCAAGAAAAAUUCAAUGCAUAAAAAGAUACAAUAGAAAGAUAUGUUACAGUAAACAUCAUUGCACAACUUCAGCGUCUAAAUCCAGGAUUAACACUUCAUCCUAAUAUGCUAUGAUUCACUUUUGGUUCGCUUGAAGAUAGGGGUGCUCUUAAACUAAUCAAUCAUCCAUUUGAUGGCUGUAACAAUAAAGGUAUCGAAAAUGAAGAAUGGGGAAAAGAUCAUAGCAAUGAAGGUGAUCUUGACCUUGAAUAUUUUUGAAUUUCUGAUAUUAGAUAGUUCUAAUAUUCGUUGUGCGGUCAAACAUUUAAAACUUAUAUCAUAACUCAUUAGUAUUGAUGAAAUACCUAAGGGAUCAUUUGGGUUUGAACAUAUGUGCUGCUCUUAUGGAUAUAUUAUGAUCUCUUUGUUAGAUAUUUUGAUGGUGAUGUUUAUAAAAAUUUUUCGAUGGACGACUAAUUA